AGAAAGACCGAGACUGAGGGAGAAAGAAGCGGAGAGAAGCAGCGAGACAGGGAGAGACGCGGCGAGAGGCGCGGAAACGCAGCGGUUAGAGCUCUAGACUCCCCGAGGACCCAGAGAGGCAGCCAGGGUCUUCCACCUGAGCCAAGGGACGAACUGGAUGAAAAACCCAACUGGAAAAUUUGAGACCGAAAUGGAGGCAGCCAACAUCCACUUUCAUGAGAAACCAGGAGCAGACAGCAUUAUUGGGAGAAGAGGAAGACCAGAGAAAAUGUGCUCCAGACAAGGGCCAAGACAGGAAUAAAGUGCUCCGGCCUUCCUACUCCCUCCUCCGCCCCACCUCCGUGGGAACCUUGAGCCUGUGAUGCUUCUCUGGUAUUAAAUGGCUCCCGCUUUACUCUGCCCCACAAAGAUGUUGAUCUCCCUUCCUGCCAUCUGUCCCUUUCACUCAGCCUUUCCCUGGAUGUCCUAAUAACCACGAGUUCUCAAAUUCUGCUCCAUACAGAGUUUUGCAAGCUUGGCCAAGCUGUUUCCUGUAAAAUCCAGAUAGGCAGGCAUUUCUACUAAGCAGAAAAAAAAAAAAAAAAAAAGUUAGAGGUGAAAUGUUUCUCAGUUGUAAAUUUCUCUUCUGAGGCCUACCCUUCUCCCCUAUUCAUGCUUUGGAACCCAGUUCAGAUAUCACCCCCCUGUGGUACUAAAUCACUCUCUCUUCUCUGAUGCCUUUGUACCUAGUACAUUUUCCUCUCAGUGGGCUGAUGAUAAUAUUGUGCAGUUGUCCAUUUCUGUGGCUUGGGGGCAGGCUGGACUAUAUCUGAAUCAUCUUUGUCUCCCUGGUAUACAUUAGCUACUCAGUAAAUAUUCAUUUUUCAUAAACUUUCUUUCAUUAUUUGUGCUGGAAUCUGAUAUGAGAUGCUAUUGAUUUUAGCCAUCAGUGUAUGUUUUGUCAUUUUAUUUUCAGUCCACUAUGAAUUUUUUUUGUGUUUCUGAAAGAGCACACCUAUUCCCAAGUGGUCUAUCUAUACAAGUGGGAGACCCAAGGGCACUGACAAAUGCACAUAAAAUUCUUAGCUGAACACCUAGAAGGGUGAGGGACUCCCUCCUGGAGCUCCUGUAAAAGCUCAAAGAAGCUUUUAAUGGGCAUUUAGAAUACUCCUUAAUGUUUUGUUUGUUCAUCAAAUUGUUGAGAACCUACUAUCUACAAAACACAUUUUAAGGUCUAGGAGUAUAGUAGUUAAUAAGACAGACAAAAAAGACAAUAAUUCUUGAACUUACAUUCUAGCAGGGGGAAAAGAAUAAUACAAAUUGAUAAUAGGAAACAUACAUAUAACACAUUAGAUGGUGAUAAGCUGGGGAGAGGGAUGGAGAAUGUGGUGGUAGGGUGGGGAGAUUGCAAUUUUAAUUGAAUGAUCAGGAGGCCUCACUGAGAAAGUGGCAUUGGGCAAAGACCUGAAGAAAGAGAGCAAACGAUGGGAAAACAAGAAGCAACAUUCCAGACAGCGGAAACAGCAAGUACAAAGGCCAUGAGGCAGAAGCAUGCAUAAUGUGUUGGGAGAACAGCAAAGGGGCUAGCGUAACUGCAGUGGA